rnacentral:rRNA from 1 species
AUUGAACGCUGGCGGCAGGCCUAACACAUGCAAGUCGAACGAGUGGCGGACGGGUGAGUAAUGUCUGGGAAACUGCCCGAUGGAGGGGGAUAACUACUGGAAACGGUAGCUAAUACCGCAUACCAUCGGAUGUGCCCAGAUGGGAUUAGCUAGUGGGGGGGGGAACGGCUCACCUAGGCGACGAUCCCUAGCUGGUCUGAGAGGAGGACCAGCCACACUGGAACUGAGACACGGUCCAGACUCCUACGGGAGGCAGCAGUGGGGAAUAUUGCACAAUGGGCGCGAGCCUGAUGCAGCCCUGCCGCGUGUAUGAAGAAGGCCUUCGGGUUGUAAAGUACUUUCAGCGAGGAGGCGUUACUCGCAGAAGAAGCACAGGCUAACUACGUGCCAGCAGCCGCGGUAAUUC